rnacentral:hammerhead_ribozyme from 1 species
GUACUACUGAGGAGUUGCACAAUAAGAUGAAACAGUUGUUCAGUAC